rnacentral:lncRNA from 1 species
AUAUAUAUAUAUAUAUAACUAGGCUGGAUACUAUUAAUAGCAUCAAUUACUUGGUGCUAUUAAAUUUUUACUCUUGGAUUAAAAGAUGUGCGGUUAGAUUGAUGUGGGCCCUCUAGGGUUGAGUGGGUGGUUGGUUUAAUAGUAUAAUAUAACGGAUAAAAAUAAUCAAAGGGGUUAAUCUAACGGCAGAAAACUUGAUAGCACCAAGUGCUUGGUGCUAUCGAUAGCAUAGCAGCCGGACUCUAUAUAUAU